GACGAACGCUGGCGGCGUGCUUAACACAUGCAAGUCGAACGGAAAGGCCUGCUUUCCCUUGUGGAUUGCGGGUGCUCGAGUGGCGAACGGGUGAGUAACACGUGAGUGAUCUGCCCCCAACUUGGGUAUAAGCCUGGGAAACUGGGUCUAAUUCCCGAUAGGACUGCAGGGUGGUGCCUGUGGUGGAAAACGAUUUUCUAGUGGUUGGGGAUGAGCUCGCGGCCUAUCAGCUUGUUGGUGGGGUAAUGGCCUACCAAGGCGGCGACGGGUAGCCGGGCUGAGAGGGUGGACGACCACAUUGGGACUGAGAGACGGCCCAGGCUCCUACGGAAGGCAGCAGUGGGGAAGAUUGGACAAUGGGCGGAAGACUGAUGCAGCGACGCCGCGUGGGGGAUGACGGCCUUCGGGUUGUAAACUCCUUUCGGCCGCGAGGAAGCCGCCUGGUUGGAAGGGUGGUGACGGUAGUGGUAGAAGAAGCACCGGCUAACUACGUG
rnacentral:rRNA from 1 species